UACGUAGGGUGCAAGCGUUAAUCGGAAUUACUGGGCGUAAAGCGUGCGCAGGCGGUGAUGUAAGACAGGUGUGAAAUCCCCGGGCUUAACCUGGGAACUGCAUUUGUGACUGCAUCGCUGGAGUGCGGCAGAGGGGGAUGGAAUUCCGCGUGUAGCAGUGAAAUGCGUAGAUAUGCGGAGGAACACCGAUGGCGAAGGCAAUCCCCUGGGCCUGCACUGACGCUCAUGCACGAAAGCGUGGGAGC
rnacentral:rRNA from 1 species